rnacentral:ncRNA from 1 species
GCAAAGACGAUGAAGGGAAGAGUACGCAAGCAGGUACGUCAAAGAGAGCCCCGGUUGGUGAAAAGGGGUACGGAGGGGUUUGCCGAACAUGGUCCCGGAGUUGCGUGGCCGACCGCAGAUGCAUAGGUCAUGACGUGAGCGCACGUGACAGCGCAGGAGUGUGAUGGCACUUCGAAAGGCCGGUUCCGCGAGGAGCCGUGCGAACCAAGGUGGUACCGCGACGUAAAGGUUUUACGUUCGCCCUUGAU